rnacentral:rRNA from 1 species
GGCCUACGGGGCGCAGCAGUGAGGAAUAUUGGUCAAUGGCCGGGAGGCUGAACCAGCCAAGUCGCGUGAGGGAAGACGGCCCUACGGGUUGUAAACCUCUUUUGUCAGGGAGCAAGGUGCAGGUCGGGACCUGCUGUGAGAGUACUUGAAGAAAAAGCAUCGGCUAACUCCGUGCCAGCAGCCGCGGUAAUACGGAGGAUGCGAGCGUUAUCCGGAUUUAUUGGGUUUAAAGGGUGCGCAGGCGGAGGCACAAGUCAGCGGUAAAAUCGCGGGGCUCAACCCCGCUCCGCCGUCGGAACUGCCGG